rnacentral:rRNA from 1 species
AAUUACAAGCGAAAGCAUAAAAUUCAAAGGACUUGACGGUAUUUCACAUCAACCUAGAGGAGCCUGUCCUAUAAUCGAUAAUCCACGUUUUACCUCACCCAUUUUUGCCAGACCAGCCUGUAUACCGCCGUCGCCAGCCCAUCUAAUGAUAGAAUAUAAAUGGACAAAAUUGUACAACCACAAAAACGUCAGGUCAAGGUGCAGCUAAUGAAUGGGCUGAGAUGGGCUACAUUUUUUAAUAUAAAAAACUACUACAAGCAACAUGAAAUAUUGCGCUACCAAGGUGGAUUUAGUAGUAAAUUUGUGCAAGAUAUGCCACAUUGAAACCUGUUCUGAAAUGCGUACACACCGCC